UCAUGUAUAUUAUUAAUAUUAUUAUGUAACUAUGUCUUUGCAGAGAGGGGUCUUGAAAUAGGUGUGCUCCAAGACAAUGCUGAUGUAUUAAAGUCACAAAAUCUUUCACUGAAUGAGGAGGCACAGGCCCUUAGUCUCCAAAUGACGAACCUUGUACAGGCCAAAAAGGAUCUUCUAGAAGAGCGGAACUCCCUAAGAGAAGGCUUAGACAAACUCCAUUUCUUCAUUGAAAGUCUAAAAAGAUAAUAUAUUUGUAACAUAGAUGUAAGAUUCUAUAUUUAAGAGCUACAUUUUUCAUGGCAUUCUCUUAUGAAAGAAAACAAAGUUUUGCCUCACAUGAUGCAGAGACACAACAGUGUUGGAAAAGAUUUCCAGACUUUUAAAAUAUUAAAGCUCAGACAUUAAUGUAUUUUUCAGCUUGAAGAGAUUUCUAUGUUGUGCAAAGGUUAAUUUUUCCGCAUGCUUUAAAAGAGUUAUCCAUUAGCUAGAUAACAAAAUUAAGUGAAGAAGAAAUGAAUAAAUUCUAUUUAAAAAGAAA